rnacentral:lncRNA from 10 species
GCUACUGCAUCUGAAUGAUUUGCAAGCAAAUGAUCCUACUCUCUGAAGCUUAUGAUUUCAUUUUAUUUUAUGUUUAUUUUCCCUCUCUGAAUGAAAAGUACCACAUUAGGAAGUCAGUGUUUGUGUGUGUGAUUUUUGUUUUACUUGGUUUUGUUUUUAUUCUCAAAUGAAAGUACCCUGCCAGUAAUCACUGGUGUUUUGGGAAGACAACCAGUAGCAGUGCUGGCUCCCUAUCUUGGAGUGGAUGGGCUUUAUGUCCAGGCAGCCAUCUGUGGGAGUGGUAGCCUGGAGCCAGGUCUUGGAGCUACCUGUGCAUGGUAAGGAUAUGGUUUUUAUUUAGCUUAAUUGUUACAGAGCAAUAAAAAUAACAGUUUCUAAAGAUGCUUUCAUGAAUAUUAUAUAUACCUGUGAGAAAAUUAUAAUUGGCUCCAUGAAGAAGUUUUUAAAAAAUAUUGUUAAAUUUGUGGCAGCAUUGAGUGAGAUCUUAGUAGAGCAUAAUGAUGAAAGACCUCUGUACUUCUAUGGAGCCAGCCUUUGGUGCCCCCAUUGAGGAGAAAUGAAAUGACUACCAUGUGUUCAGCAGCUCUCACUAACAAAUGGCAUUCCAGAUCACCUGACUACUCCCCACAGCACUACCUCUCCAAACAUUUGCUGUAAAUACUCUUGAGAAUGUUACAAAUAGGGGAGCAUUUUCUUGAAUAAACUUUAUUUGGCAUGGCCAUAAAAAUCACUUGUUUCAGAAUUCUGGGAACUUUCUGGAGAUGCUGUGUACUGAGGGAAUUGUAUUUGCUGAUCCCUGUAACAAUGCUUUCGGAGUUAAGUGCCUUCUGCCAGACACUUGCCAUGGCAGGAAACAUAUAUCUUAGAAGUGAACAAGAUAUGUGCCUGUUCUUAUAAGGUGAUUUAUG